UACGUAGGUGGCAAGCGUUGUCCGGAUUGACUGGGCGUAAAGCGCACGCAGGCGGACGCGCGCGUGGGGUGUGAAAUCUGGCCGCUUAACGGCCAGGCGCCAUCCCAUACGGCGCGUCUGGAGUGAUGCAGAGGUCGGUGGAAUUGCCGGUGUAGUGGUGAAAUGCGUAGAGAUCGGCAGGAACACCCAGGGGGAAACCAGCCGACUGGGCAUCUACUGACGCUGAGGUGCGAGAGCGUGGGGAGCGAACCGG
rnacentral:rRNA from 1 species